AUUAAAAAAAAAGUUAAAUCUGUCCUGCGCUAUAGCUUCAGGAUUGAAGUAAAAUGAACUUAAAACAUCUAGUUAAAAUUAAAUUGAAAUCAAACCAAGGCAAUUCCGCAACAAUAUUAAGAAUUGCAACUGUGGUAUAAGAUUUAUGAUUCAUUUGAAGAUACAUCAGACUGAUCACCAUUCAUAUAAAAAUCUACUAUCCUAAUCUUCACCUCAUCUACACGUGCCUCAAAGAUGACAAUCUAAAGUCAUCACUUUGGAUGCAAUAAUCACCCCAAAAUUUUAUAUAACUGAUCACAUUUCAAGACAAUGGAUGAAACUGAGAAAUAAGCAACAAAUGUUAGCAAAGUGCUUUGAAACCGACAGUGAGGACAAGGCAGGGAAGUGGAUGAGCAUUUCAGUAAAGGAGUAUUUAUAAGAGUUGGAUUUCCAUUAUUUAAAUUUUAGACUGACUGAAUAAAAAUACCUACAAUGUUAUUUUUACAUAAUGGUGCAAUGUGGAUUAAUUUUCAGAUGACAUAUUUUAGACUGCCUGGUUGUGCAUCUACUUGAGUUUGCAGUACCAGCAAUUAAUAAAACUAGUACUUUAGAUUCCAGGAAGGGUACAUAGCCAAAUCAAAAGGACUAAAGCUAAAUUAUAGUAGUUUUUUUUUUCAUAUUUUAUAUCUCAUAUAUUUAUAAUGGUAUAAAUUAAGGAUAUAAAUUAACUGCUAUUGUUUAUCUUUUACUGCAUCAUGAAAAAAUAAAAUUAAGGAUAUAAA